GAGCUUGCGGCAGAUUAGGUAGUUGGUAAGGUAAUGGCUUACCAAGCCUGCGAUCUGUAUCCGGUCUAAGAGGACGGUCGGACACACUGACACUGAAUAACGGGUCAGACUCCUACGGGAGGCAGCAGUCGGGAAUUUUGGGCAAUGGGCGAAAGCCUGACCCAGCAACGCCGCGUGAAGGAUGAAGUAUUUCGGUAUGUAAACUUCGAAAGAAUGGGAAGAAUAAAUGACGGUACCAUUUAUAAGCUCCGGCUAACUACGUGCCAGCAGCCGCGGUAAUACGUAGGGAGCAGGCGUUGUUCGGAUUUACUGGGCGUAAAGGGCGCGUAGGCGGCGUGUCAAGUCAAUUGUGAAAUCUCCGGGCUUAACUCGGAACGGCCAAUUGAUACUGUCAUGCUAGAGUGCAGAAAGGGCAAUC
rnacentral:rRNA from 1 species